GUCGUCGUGGUGUAGUUGGU
rnacentral:misc_RNA from 1 species